GAGAUGAAAAAAAGUUAAAUGUAUUUGAAAAUGGCUUUUUUUAGUUGUAUCGAAAUCCGUAAAUUAUUGAGAUUUUUUUUAGUGACUUUUUAGCUGUAAAAGUUCUACAUUUUUCAAAUGAAGAAAUUUUUCAUGAAUUCAAUUAAAGGGGGAGCCUCCGUGGGUUUCAUUGUGAUGUGAUGAUUUGGUGGAAAUUUUCUAUCAAAUCUUGUGAAGAGAGCGAGCUUUUGAUUGAUUUGAUAGAAAAUGCUUUUGAUGCAAAUACAUAAUUUAAAUACUUUCAAUGUAUGCCUCUGUAAUGAAAUAACUAUGUGCUUUUCAUGCUGAAGUUACUAUUUAAAAACACCAGUGGAGUAGUUUUGACAAGAUUAAUGUUCUAGAUGUGAGGCAUGUUCUAAGGAUCUAAUCCCGUUACUAAUUCAAUUGAUCCCUUUUUCCUGGAGUGAUUUUGGCAGAGAAGUCAAUUAAUGUCGAGUUUGGGGUCAAUGAUGAAUUGUUAUCCCAUGAGCUCAGAGACGGUGACAAUUCCUUGGAACAAAUCCUCUGGAAGCUUGGAAUUGUACAGUCACAAGAUAGCAAAAUGAAGUCCCGACUCCACAAGCUUCGAGUCACAGAGGAGAAGUGAUCCAUGUUCCUGAUAUAAUUGAAAGCACGGAUCAGCCUUGAGGUUGGAGGUUCAUCCAAAAAAGUAAAGUUUUCUUCUAGAUUGUUUUUAAUCCUGGCUCCACUUAUCUGGGUGUAGAAUUCCGGUGACAACCAUGAUCAUGACUUCUUUGGCGACUCGAUCUUAUGGCUCACGCCUGCUGUGAUUGAACAAACUAGACACCUGACUGCAUUUCCGGGGAUUUGCAGGCUCGUUGGUUCUCAUUCUUCUUUUGGUUAUGCUAAUGACACAGCAAGAAAAGAUUUUUGGUGCAAAAAACUAAUUCUAAUUUGUAUAUUGUGCUAGAUUGUUACAUUGCUACUGUCUUCUUUGGUUUAGAAGUGUAUUACUAGAGCAAAAGGGCCCAAUGCCUUGUAAAAAAUGUUGGAUAAAUUUUAAUAAAAAAUAAAAUUUGAUUUAA